rnacentral:rRNA from 1 species
UACGAAGGGGGCUAGCGUUGCUCGGAAUUACUGGGCGUAAAGGGCGCGUAGGCGGACAGUUUAGUCAGAGGUGAAAGCCCAGGGCUCAACCCUGGAAUUGCCUUUGAUACUGACUGUCUUGAGUACGGGAGAGGUGAGUGGAACUCCGAGUGUAGAGGUGAAAUUCGUAGAUAUUCGGAAGAACACCAGUGGCGAAGGCGACUUACUGGACACAUAUUGACGCUGAGGUGCGAAAGCGUGGGGAGCAAACAGG